AGGCCACGGACUUUCCACAGCGCGGGGGAACGGGAGGCUGCAGGAUGGUCAAGCUGACGGCGGAGCUGAUCGAGCAGGCGGCGCAGUACACCAACGCGGUGCGCGACCGGGAGCUGGACCUCCGGGGGUAUAAAAUUCCCGUCAUUGAAAAUCUAGGUGCUACGUUAGACCAGUUUGAUGCUAUUGAUUUUUCUGACAAUGAGAUCAGGAAACUGGAUGGUUUUCCUUUGUUGAGAAGACUGAAAACAUUGUUAGUGAACAACAACAGAAUAUGCCGUAUAGGUGAGGGACUUGAUCAGGCUCUGCCCUGUCUGACAGAACUCAUUCUCACCAAUAAUAGUCUCGUGGAACUGAUGGAGUGGCUGGAGUGCAGUGGCGAGAUCUCGGCUCACUGCAACCUCUGCCUCCUGGGUUCAAGUGAUUCUCCUGCUGCCUCAGCCUCCUGAGUAGCUGGGAUUACAGGGUGAUCUGGACCCUCUGGCAUCUCUUAAAUCGCUGACUUACCUAAGUAUCCUAAGAAAUCCGGUAACCAAUAAGAAGCAUUACAGAUUGUAUGUGAUUUAUAAAGUUCCGCAAGUCAGAGUACUG
rnacentral:sRNA from 1 species